UCUGUUGGACAAGAACAUCCUACUAUACCCCCCAACAUCUCUCUGAUGAAAAUAGGGAUGUCCCAAGGUAAAGUGGGACAUUCCAGGAUCAAAUCAGAAACCAGGACUGCUUCUCUAAAUCAGGGCCUGUCCCUGGAAAAUAGGGACACUUGGAGGGUCUGUCCUACAUGCACAGUCCCCAUUUUCCCUUAUCACCAUUUGCAUUGCUGGGUGUGAAUGGAGAUAAAUUACAAUGUUAACUGCAGUGUGGAACCGUUGCUUUAAUUCCACUUAGAGCUUAAAACGGAAGAGAGAAUAUUUAGUAAUGCUGAGAAAACCUAGGCUGUGCACACACUCCCUUUUACUCUGCAUCCUGUGUGCUCCCACUGCUGGUUUGGGAAGUAGUGUACACAUAACUUUAGUGACCCGCCAGAUCUAUCCUGUCAUUUCUAAUGAAAUACUGUAUUUUGACACAGUUCCCCCAAACCAGCUUCGAUAAAAAGAAAAACUAGUUGCCUUUUAAGCUGGUAACAUGUAGGCAGCCUUUGGCUUUGUAUACACCAUUCAUUUAAAUCACAUUAUUCCCUUCAAAAACCAUUUCCUCGAAAGCAUAGUUUACCUUUCACAGUACCGCAACUCCCAGCACGUGUAACAAACUACAGUUCCCAGGGUUCUUUGGAGGAACUCAUGUGCUUUAAAUAUAUGGUGUGUUCACAGUCUUAGCGUAGAACCAACCUAAAUUAGAAUUGAUGUCAGCAACUUUCAACAAAGUGUUGGUCACAGCAGGCCUCCAAGGAUUCUUUCUUGGUUCAGAUAUGAUAAGCCCCUAACCACUCAAAUAAGUUUUUCUGGCUGGCGCUGCGCUGACUCUGUGGUGGCAGAGAAGUAAGAUUCAUUUGCUGCCAUCCUCGCAACAGAGUAGCCUCUAAAAUUAGCUGCAUCCUGUGAGGCAGAUGUUCACUAUGCUGGAAAAUAAAAUAAGUUUUAAAAGUAAUUGCUUUUGCCAAACAUAUCAAACUGUAGUUUCAAGUUAAAUAAUUUUAAUUACAUUCAGUAAGUCAUGGGAAAUCAAAGAAUGACCUAGAGAGAAAUUGAAGACUCUGAAGUAAAACUUAAUAAGCAACUUGCAGACUGUGAAUACUACAGAAACAGAAUCCAAGGUCAGCGAGCAUCAGAAGGUAAUUGAGAAAGAUGUCAAAACAACCCAGGUAUCUCCAACUCCCUUGUUAGCCCUGCUGGGAAUAAUAGAUGAAUCAAAGCAACAUUUAUCUCUUCAGGAGAUGCUGACAUUUUUGCUGGUAGUUGUUCAUUUAGAAAUAGCUAAAGGUUGGCAUUCUGCAAUAGAAUCAUAGUAUGCUCAGAUGUGGUCCACUGCCUUGGCUGAGAAAUUGAUGUGCCCGAUCAGAGUGACCAGAGGCAAGAUGAGUCUGUUAUCCUUCUAUAUCACUGCCCAGACCCAUCAAAACAUCUGGAGAGACCUGUUGGAUUCGAGUCUCUAAUAGACAUUAUAAAUGGGUUCUAACUGUUACUCCUUUUUUCCAAUAAAUGACAGACUAGCUGCUA